rnacentral:tRNA from 7 species
ACUUUUAAAGGAUAAAAGUCAUCCACUGGC